UAGGUGGCAAGCGUUGUCCGGAUUUACUGGGUGUAAAGGGCGCGUAGGCGGGCUUGCAAGUCAGUCGUGAAAUACCGGGGCUUAACUCCGGGGCUGCGAUUGAAACUGCAAGUCUUGAGUAUCGGAGAGGAAAGCGGAAUUCCUAGUGUAGCGGUGAAAUGCGUAGAUAUUAGGAGGAACACCAGUGGCGAAGGCGGCUUUCUGGACGACAACUGACGCUGAUGCGCGAAAGUGUGGGGAGCAAA
rnacentral:rRNA from 1 species